CAGAGAUUGGUUAACAGACACCUGAAAACAUGAAGACUGUGAUUCUUGCUCUUGUGGUGUUGCUGGUUGUCAGUCAGGGUGAAGCCUUGAGGUGUCGCUGUGGAGGUCGGACUCAAUGUCCAAGCAGCGUACAGACCUGCUCCGGUUCAAACAAAGUCUGUGCCCACAUCACGUUCCUUCAUGAUUACAGCUGGUUCAAGAGUUGUUAUGACAGAAACACCUGCUACUC